rnacentral:rRNA from 1 species
AAUAGAUACCCAGGUAGUCCACGCUGUAAACGGUGGGUACUAGGUGUGGGGUCCAUUCCACGGGUUCCGUGCCGUAGCUAACGCUUUAAGUACCCCGCCUGGGGAGUACGGCCGCAAGGCUAAAACUCAAAGGAAUUGACGGGGCCCCGCACAAGCGGCGGAGCAUGCGGAUUAAUUCGAUGCAACGCGUAGAACCUUACCUGGGUUUGACAUGGAUCGGGAGCGCUCAGAGAUGGGUGUGCCUCUUUUGGGGUCGGUUCACAGGUGGUGCAUGGCUGUCGUCAGCUCGUGUCGUGAGAUGUUGGGUUAAGUCCCGCAACGAGCGCAACCCUUGUUCACUGUUGCCAGCACGUUAUGGUGGGGACUCAGUGGAGACCGCCGGGGUCAACUCGGGAGGAAGGUGGGGAUGACGUCAAGUCAUCAUGCCCCUUAUGUCCAGGGCUUCACGCAUGCUACAAUGGCUGGUACAGAGAGUGGCGAGCCUGUGAGGGUGAGCGAAUCUCGGAAAGCCGGUCUCAGUUCGGAUUGGGGUCUGCUAACG